rnacentral:rRNA from 1 species
UACGUAGGUGGCAAGCGUUGUCCGGAUUUACUGGGCGUAAAGAGCGCGCAGGCGGUCGCUCAAGUCGCGUGUGAAAGCCCCCGGCUCAACUGGGGAGGGUCACGCGAUACUGAUCGACUGGAAGGCAGGAGAGGGUAGUGGAAUUCCCGGUGUAGUGGUGAAAUGCGCAGAUAUCAGGAGGAACACCGGUGGCGAAGGCGGUUCUCUGGGCAUGACCUGACGCUGAGGAGCGAAAGUGUGGGGAGCGAACAGG